ACUCUCUCAGAGGGUAAAUUUUGAAAAGGCGCCCCAUAGUAAAGUAAGUCGUAUUCACGACAAAAAAAAACUGGAGAGAUGAAGGUAAAAGAAUCGCGCGCAGCCAAAUGCUCUACAAACAAGUUAAUUCAAUGAUCAGCAAAACGAACACAGUGCUUGUUGAUCUAGAGAUGAAGGAACAGGAACUGAUGCAACAAGUGAGCGCUGUCAAAAAACGUACUACUGAUGAUGAUGGGCCAACAGCCGUUGUUAGCGAGGAAUUGGUGCGAAUCGAUGAACUGAUUUCGGUUAUAAAAAAAAUUCUAGAUGAUUUCCGAUUAGACCAAAUUUCAAAAAUCCUUUGUCAAAAUUGACAACGAUCACGAUGGCAUAUCAAAGUGGAAGAUGUUUGCAACUGAUUUGAGUGUUUCUUCUAGCGAUCGUCAAACAAGUAAAAGAAACGAUAUUUUAACCUUAAGGUCAUUUGCCUCUUCGGGCCAGAAAAAUUUUCUGACCCUAUGUGCGGGGAUGGGAAUCGAACCCAAGUGGGCUGCGUGAAAGGGCAUCGACUUACCCAUCACGCUAUACCCGUCCCCUUCAGUAUAUUUAUUAAAGUGAGGUUACAGAAUAAAAAUACAUUCCAUCAACUGCAUCAUUACCAUUUAUCUA